rnacentral:rRNA from 1 species
UGAGCAAUCUGCCCUUCUCUUUGGAAUAAGCGUUGGAAACGACGUCUAAUGCCGAAUACGACCUCCUUUCGCAUGAUCGGAGGUGGAAAGCUCCGGCGGAGAAGGAUGAGCUCGCGGCCUAUCAGCUAGUUGGUGUGGGUAAUGGCCCACCAAGGCGACGACGGGUAGCCGGCCUGGAGAGGGUGACCGGCCACACUGGGACUGAGACACGGCCCAGACUCCUACGGGAGGNAG